GCACCUUCUGUUUCUUUACCCCGUGGCAAUGUUUUUUCCUCUUGCAAAUCCAGAGGAUUUAGUCACGGGAGUUUGGCGCCAGGUCCGCGGCCUCUUGUCCUCAGCUUUAAUCUCAACCCUCGCCCUCUCCCGUCCUCAGCGUCGCCUGCCCUUUUCAUGGCUCAAAACCAGGGCUGCCCCUGUAGCGAUGCCCCUUUUUUUCCAGGGGAGAAUUCUCCUACGAUUCCCUUUUUAGCAUCAUCGCAAGCCCCUUCUCCGUCAGCCUUUGCUGGGGUUGGGAGAUCAAGGAGGCCCCCUCCGAAUUUCACGUGUUGUUCCUGUGUCCUUAACGCUUUAAUCUUCAGGCUUUGGAAAAGGAAGCUGCCAGCUCGUGUGGCUUGCGGACAGAGCUCCCGGCAAAGAUACCGCGUCCUGGUCCUUCAGGUUCAAGAACUGGCAUCUACUUCUCCGAGCCUCUGGGGCGAUGCAAACCAGAAAUCGAUGCCGUCCCCCUUUGGAGAGGGAAGACUCCUGCCCAGACAGGAGCUCCUCGGGACCACCACGCGUCCGAAAUGCUCGGUGCUAUCCACACCGCUAUCUAUAGACGCUGAAGCCCGCGGGUCCUCGCUCGCAGACCCAGCUACCGUGUCCUCUAAACAACCUGUGGGAGAUGCUGGCACCUCCGGAGGGUGGCCCGAUGUCACCAGGUCAGACCUCGGUUUCUAUUCCUCCUCCGGAGGAUCCCGUUCCUGCGAUGACUAUAUAGGGAUCCGCCAGCCCUCCCUCCACCUCGGCAUUUAAACCGGUUAAAAUUAGGCGGUGGGAAGGUCCCCUCCCCGCCGCCGGCACAGCUGCCGUGCCCGUGACGGCUCUUCCAGCUCCCUGCGGACGCACGAAGCCUCCAGCGAGUCUGGGUACCUCUUUCCCAGGGCACUGCCAAAAUCUCCGGUACGGACAACCCCCAGCUACGCAACCAUCGCAGCCCGCGUGCCCUGGGAGCGACACGGCCCCGGUCAGGCCAACUUCGGCACUACGGAAAAAUCAACCGCAGGUCUUGGUCGACAAAGCUCCUGGAAGUGGUUCCAGUCGGGAAGCAAACGUGAUGAUGGAGUCAGGGAAAAGGAAUGCGGAUCUUGAAGAAUGGGAUGCGAAAAUCAGGAAGUUAACAGAGGAAUUUGAAGAAAGCGACACAGAGCUUGAGGAGUGUGACACAGAAAAUGAAAUCGGUGAACUCACAGCAGAGAUCGACAAUCUGACUGCGGAGCUUGAGGAGCGUGAUAGAAAAAUCAGCAAGCUUACCUCGGACCUGGGCGACUGCGAUGCAAAAAUCAAGGAACGUGAUAGAAAAAUUAGUAAGUGUCAUUCUUCAUUGUGCUUUUGGGGUAAAACCCCCUUGUUUUGGGGGAGGGAGAGCCUCUCUGAUGCCCUGACCUUGAAAAGUGGCAAAUAAGAACGUUCCCCCCCCACCACCACCAAGUUUCAGCCUGGGCUUCUGCAUUUCCCACAGAGGAAAAACACCCAAAUAAACACAAAUAUUGUCUUUCCUCUUUGCAGCGAAGCUCGCAGCAGAAAUACGUAAGCCCUUUUCUUUCUUUUUGAAACAAAAAUGAUGGUUUUAAGCUUAGAAACCUCUCUUCUAGGGUCAAUUUUUGUCGCUUUACUUGAACUAAUACCCUUUUUUUCUUACUUCAAAGGUAGACUCACUGCGCUGCUUGGGGACCGAGACUUGAGGCUUCGUAAGUGAUGUUCUCUUCCUGACGCGUAAAGUCUCGGUCUAAAGGUGGAUCUUCCUCAAUGGGCUGGUGUGUUUCCAAAAGCGUCUCUCCCCCCGGGCACCGGUUUUCUCCGUUUUCCUGCGUUUCUGAGUUCAGCCCCUUACAUCGCUCCUAAAUGGAUGUAUUGCCAGAACCGGUGGUUUUCCUCCCCCUUCUCUUCCCCCUUCUCUUCCC